GAUAGAUGGAUGUUGAUUCCAAGUUCCAAGAGCUGGAAGAGAAUUUGGGAUUCAUUUUUCUCUGGAAUGAUCAUCCUUGGACCUAAAGGCCUCCACAACAGAAAUGAAGAAGGAACCUGCAUGUUCAGAGCAACACAGACCUACUGCCCCCUAGACACCUCCCUCAGCCUCCC